rnacentral:lncRNA from 1 species
CACACAUACAUACAGACACACGCACACACAUACAUACACACAUACAUACAAACAGACAGGUACACAUACAUACAGACACACACAUACAUACAAACAGUAAGGUACACAUACAUACAGACACACACAUACAUACAAACAGUAAGGUACACAUACAUACAAACACACACAUACAUACAAACAGACAGGUACACAUACACACAUACAGACAGACACAAGACACAAACACACACACAUACAUACAGAUAGACACACACACACACAAGACAUACAUACAUACAUAGACACACACAAGACAUAC